GCAGUGUCUCCUGGGAGUUGUAGUCCCGGCGUUGUCGCCUGGGGCUAGACUGCCCAGGACCUGGCAGGAUUCCCCAGACGCGGGACCUAGGCUAAGUUACUGAGAAUUACAGGUGGGGUCUGUGAAAGUUCUCUCUCCUGUUUCAACCGUGUCUUUUAAAGGAUAUCGUUUCCAAUGAUGCCACCAUCCCUUUAAAGAAAAACCUGACGGAGAGCAGGAUAAGACCACGUGGAUCUGCCAAAUUAGAAGUAACAAAUUCCAGGCUCCAAAUUUCAUUGCCCCAAAUCGUAAUUUUCUUGAGGGUCUGCUUGACUGAGCAGGUCUUCAAAGUUCUGACCUGACUUGGUGUCCAGAGAAGCCAUGGUGUGCCUGGACUUGCAAGGAUGAGGCCCGCCCCCUCUCCUUCCAUAGCUGCCACCUCUUAUCCUCAAAGGGACAGCCCUUGGAAAAAGCAACACCCACAUGGUAAUUGCAGUUUGGGUGGAACUGGACUGAUGAUGGACACGUGACGCAAGGCCUGCCAAUCAGAGCAUUGCAUUCUCUGGUCACAAGUGGCCCAUAGAGAAGGCAAGCAACUCCACUAUGGAAUUUUGCUACAUCAAGGAUGCUGUUUUAAAAAAUUGCUAGGAUUAUAUUUAAAGGUCUCAUGAAUCAAUGUGAAAAAACUCCAAUUGGCCAAACAUUGGACGAGAUGAAGAGUGAUAGCUGCAAACUAUGACCAUUCACAGCUCCAAUGAAUCAGUGGAUCUAGGCCUGCACUGCCCAGCAGAGGACCCGUUGGCCACUUGUGGUUACUGAGCUCUGGAAAUGUCUGUCCAAAUUGAGAUGUGCUCUAAGUGUCAGCCACGAUCACAACGAC